rnacentral:rRNA from 1 species
GGCCAGACUCCUACGGGAGGCAGCAGUGGGGAAUAUUGCACAAUGGGGGAAACCCUGAUGCAGCAACGCCGCGUGAGUGAAGAAGUAUUUCGGUAUGUAAAGCUCUAUCAGCAGGGAAGAAGAUGACGGUACCUGACCAAGAAGCCCCGGCUAACUACGUGCCAGCAGCCGCGGUAAUACGUAGGGGGCAAGCGUUAUCCGGAUUUACUGGGUGUAAAGGGGGCGCAGACGGCGAUGCAAGCCAGGAGUGAAAGCCCGGGGCCCAACCCCGGGACUGCUCUUGGAACUGCGUGGCUGGAGUGCAGGAGGGGCAGGCGGAAUUCCUGGUGUAGCGGUGAAAUGCGUAGAUAUCAGGAGGAACACCGGUGGCGAAGGCGGCCUGCUGGACUGCAACUGACGUUGAGGCCCGAAAGCGUGGGGAGCAAACAGGAUUAGAUACCCCCGUA